GAUGAACGCUGGCGGCGUGCUUAACACGUGCAAGUCGAACGGGUCGGCCCUGUUUUUUGCGGGGUGGGUCAGUGGCGAAAGGGUGAGUAAAACGUGAGUAACCUGCCCCUCACUUCUGGAUAAACGCUUGAAAGGGUGGCUAAUACGGGGUGUAUUGGCUGUGCCGCAUGGUGCGGAUGGGAAAGAUUCACUUUUGGGGUGUUUUGGUGGGGGAUGGGCUCGCGGCCUAUCAGCUUGAUGGAGGGGUGAUGGCCUGCAAAGGCGUUGACGGGUAGCCGGCCUGGGGUGGUGGGCGGUCCCACAGGGGCUGAGAUGCGGCCCAGCCUCCUGCGGGCGGCAGCAGUGGAGGGUAUUGCACAGUGGGCGGAAGCCUGAUGCAGCGCCGUCGCGUGAGUGAUGGAGGCCUUCGGGUUGUGAACCUCUUUCGCCGGUGAAGAAGGUCCUGCUCUUUGUGGUGGGGUUGACGGUAGCCUGGUUAUGAAGCGCCGGCUAACUACGUG
rnacentral:rRNA from 1 species